GAACCGAUCGUUCAGCUAGUCCUGUACAGCAAAUACAGUUCAGCCUGAGAAGACGCGCAACUGAGAGCAAGACAAGAUCCACAGGGCUCUCCAUCAAUCCAGCCACGUAGGAAGAUCCGCCUCAUUACAGGUCUGAAGGUCAUCUUGAACAUCCAUUGAGGUCCCUUUCCAACUUCAGAGUCCUUGUGGAAUGCCUUUAGGUGUCCAUCCUCCAUUGAUCCUGAUUGGUGUAGUCCUAGUUUGAAGUCGCUGAUCUGAACACGCCGCUUGCAUCCUUUUACACUUGAUUUGGAUACUCUCCUUCCUGCCCAGUGACGCAGAACCAAGGAAACACACGUAGAACCCCGUGCCGGGUGUGAGUGGGACACACACACACACAGUAGAACCCUAACGAUGCUCAAAAAUUUUCCAUCUCAUGUCAAACCCACACACAC